GACGAACGCUGGCGGCGUGCUUAACACAUGCAAGUCGAACGAAGAGCGAUGGAAGCUUGCUUCUAUCAAUCUUAGUGGCGAACGGGUGAGUAACGCGUAAUCAACCUGCCCUUCAGAGGGGGACAACAGUUGGAAACGACUGCUAAUACCGCAUACGAUCUAAUCUCGGCAUCGAGGAAAGAUGAAAGGUGGCCUCUAUUUAUAAGCUAUCACUGAAGGAGGGGAUUGCGUCUGAUUAGCUAGUUGGAGGGGUAACGGCCCACCAAGGCGAUGAUCAGUAGCCGGUCUGAGAGGAUGAACGGCCACAUUGGGACUGAGACACGGCCCAGACUCCUACGGGAGGCAGCAGUGGGGAAUCUUCCGCAAUGGACGAAAGUCUGACGGAGCAACGCCGCGUGAGUGAGGACGGCCUUCGGGUUGUAAAGCUCUGUUAAUCGGGACGAAAGGCCUUCUUGCGAACAGUUAGAAGGAUUGACGGUACCGGAAUAGAAAGCCACGGCUAACUACGUG
rnacentral:rRNA from 1 species